rnacentral:lncRNA from 1 species
CGUGGUCCCGUUGGUUUCUUGUUGACUUGGUUGCCCUGGCCCAAUCGGACUUGCUUCUUCCAAACAGGCGCUGCUCAGACAGAGCCCGAGGGGUCUCGGCUCCUGCUUCCUCACCCUCUUCUGCCCUGGGAACACAUCCAGAGCCCCCCACUUCUCACCACCACCACUGUCCCCCUCGCUCCCCCCUUGUACCCCAGCUGCCACUUGGCCCUCCGCAGCCAGGCCCGCCUGCAGAACCUGCGAGGCCCAGGCCACAGCGAGACCCGGGCCCCCGGUCUAAAACCAUGUAGACUGUCAGGGCGCCAUCAGCUGGGGCGAGGUGACCGGCCGGGCCAGCCCUGCGUAUUUAUACGGUCACCUCCCACAGCCAGAGGGUUUCUCCCAGUGCAGCUGGGACCUGUCUCCUGGCUUUCAACGACCCAGCGCUCCCAGCAAAUCUGGCACGGCACAUGCCGCGAGCUGGCCCUCUCUACUCGCCGACCCCCUUCAGCCUCGCUGUGCUCGCUGCUUGUUCCCGGCUUUGCCAGGGUGGUCCUUCCCUCUGCAGAAUUUUCUCCCACCUCCAGCUUCUGUGUGGAUCGCACCCCCUUCGUGUUGGAUGUUAGAGUUCAACUAACAGCCCACGGCCACCGGCGCUCCCUGUGCACGUGGACUCCGUCUCUCUCGCAGCUCUCGCUCUGCGCUCUGUGACAUUGUGUGCGUCCCCGACGGGGCCCUUUCUGGCUCCAGCACCAGAGCCCUGCCUGGCCCCCAGCCGGCCCGGCGUUUGCUCAGCAGAGGGGAUCCUGGCACCCACGCCCCCGAGGCGGGCCAGUGGGCUGCGGGCGGGCAGAGCGGGGCCUGGGGACUCUCCACGCCACGGGGACCUGCUGGUGGCCUGAGCCUGUGCCUCCUUCGCCCCAGCCUGGCCCUGUGCUGCUGCCCUGUGAGCAGGAGCCGGGGAGGAGGGUCCCAGCAAAGGGCGUGCCUGGCGGGUGCAGAGGGUGAUGGAAGGCCUGGUGGAGGGGGCCGUCGGGUAGACAGGGACGUUUGCACCGUUGCUCUCGCUGCGUCCCCGCACGCAGGUGUUUUUUUGCCAAAGCGUCUUAGAGUACACUGCGGGCGUGAUGCCGCCCCUCCCUACGUAACUCAGCAAUGUCCUAAGGGGUGCUUUUAAGACUUGCCCACCUUUCCUAGUGUCAUCUGACAUCCAGCCCUUUUCCCACUUGUCCCCAGAAUGUCUCUCUUCUUUGUCGCACAGGUCGUGACGUCUCCCUCGUCUGUCAGUGGAGAAGAGCCCCACUUUCUCUUGGGCAACGGCAGGACCUUGCUCUUUCCUUCUCCCCUCCCCCAGCUCUCUCUUAUUUUGGGGGGUAACGGCUUUAUUGAGAUGUGCUUCACGUCUAGUUCACCCACUUGAUGCGUGCAGUUCCACGGCUUUUAGUGUGUUCACAGAGUUGUGCAGCCGUCACCAGGAUCGAUUUGAGAACAUUUCCAUCACCACAUAGAGACCUCUCAGCCUGGGGUGCACCGUGUGUCCUUCUGUGUCUGCUUCUCUCCCCGAGCGUCGUGUGUGCAGGUCUGUCCACAUGCAGCUGUGUUGGGGCCUUGCUCAUCUUCACGGCUGAGUAAUAUUCCAGCGUGUGGAUGGACACACGUGUGGAUCCAUCAUCCAUCAACGGACAUUUAAGUUGUUCUCACUUUCGACUUU